UGUGAUUACAAACAUAAGGGCCGACCAAA
rnacentral:piRNA from 1 species